CCUAUAGUCUUUUUUUAUGGGGUGGUAAUGCUGAAUAUAGUGAAAUGUAAACUUCUAUUUUGACUUGCAGCUCUAUGCCUGUCAAAGUCAUACUGAUUAGUAUCAGUCUGAUUUGAUGACAUCAGAUUUGAUUUGUAAUUUCUGGGGAAAUUUAGUUAAAAUUUAAAAGUUAAAUAUCCUCUUAAGAAAAAUGUUUGAGCAUGGAAUUUACUUACUGGCAACAGAAGGUUUUUAUUUCCAUUUGUUAGUUUUUGCAAUUUAAUUCUCUGAUUGUUUUACUUAUUUUUACAACAUUUUUGAGGUAUAAUUGACAAAUGAACAAUCAUAUAUAAUUAAGUUAUAUAACAUAGUGUUUUGAUGCAUAUGUUUACAUGCAUACACAUUUUUAAAUGAUUACCAUACUUAGGCUAAUUAGCAUAACCAUCACUUCAUGUAGAUACUCUGUGUGUGUGUAUGUGUGGUGUGUGUGUGUGUGUGUGUGUGUGUGUGUUGAGAACUUUUAAGAUCUUUCAGACUUGUUAGGAUUAUUUUGUAGCUCUCUAGAAAUGGCCAUCCCAGUUUAUUUAGGUAGACCAGCUCUUUGUCAUUCAGAUCUCUUACAUCUAUAAAUUCAUCAGAUAAGCUAUCCUCAUCUAAAAUACCCUUCAUUUUUAAAUACUCUGCAGUACUAGACAUCUUUUUCUCAAGGAAAAUGGUUGUAAAAGCACAGAGGUGAUUUAAUCUUUGAAAUUAAAGAUGGGUUCCAAGUAAAUUACACUUUUGGUAAACAGAUGAUUAUAGAUUGAAUAGAAUUUGUCAUAAUUUACAUUUGCACUGCCUACUACAUAAACAGAUAGUCAAAUAAAGACUAGUUUGGAUCUGGGCACCAUGGCACAUACCCAUAAUCCCAGAGACUCAAGAGGCUGAGGCAGGAGGAACACAGGGUCAAGGCCAGCCUCAGCAACUUAGUGAGGCCCUAAGCAACUUAGUGAAAACCUGUCUCAAAAUAAAAAAUUAAAAGGGCCGAGGAUGUAGCUCAUUGGUAGAGCACUUCUACACUAAAAGGUGAGUCAUCUAUAAUCAGCAUUCCCCAUUUGUUCACCCACGGGACAUUUUACAUGCCUCCUCUGAACCAGGAAAUCUGGCUGUACUCCGUUUUAUAGAGAUAUCAGGGGAACAAUGCAAUAAUGCACAUCAUUUGUCUGGUAUGCCAAGCUAAAUCAGGGUCUACUGUUUACAAUUGAACACUGGUAUCUUUUGAGGAGGCCAAAUUUAGAAAUUCAGAAGUACUGCCCAUCUCAUUUUAAAGUUGUGAGAUUCGUUUUUCAGAUAUGCUAUUCACAUCCCAUCCACCAUGCCCAAUCCCAAAUUCUUUCCUUCCAGUGGUGUAUUAUGCUCUGUUUUCAUUAUUUACCUUUAGCUCAAUUGUGUUAACCUCUAUCUGUCAUUAAAUUAACACAGUUAUUUAGCUUUAUUUUUCUGUUUGUCUGGAUCAUACUGAUGUUGUCCAUUUUUAUUGUUUAUGUUAACAUUAGAAUUUUUUUCUGUUUUCAACUUUGUCUCUGAAUUAUCUAGGUUUUCUUUUUUGUUUGCCACACCUCUGUCUUUCACAGUGGACCUUUCCUCUUUAUAACUAAUGAAUCUUGGCUAGCCUUUCAUAAUCUAAGAUGAGGAAUAAAAUUCUAGUUGACAGCCUUGUAUGCAUGGCUGGGGCUUAUAAUUUGGGAAGCUUCAGUGCUUUGGAAUGGUUGUCAUCUGGACUUUAAUGUCACUGAUAGAUUUCCCUAGAGCUUGACCCUUAGUUUCUGGCAUUUGAAGGGCAGGGUUCGGGAACCAGCUGAGGAGAUUCUGUGUUUCAAUAUACAUUAUUUUCAUUUAAUCCCUCUUUUUGGCUGUGUGCUUUGCCCUCACCUUCUACUGAUGCUGGCAUCCCCAACUCUAGGAUUUCUGCACAGAAUAAAUCUCUGAUCUUUUGUUAGUAUAUGCUUAGCUACCUGAAAUAAAGGGAUCAAACUUCUCAUUCAUAUUUAAAGUGAUUUUGGCCAGAGAUCAAGGGAGACUCCCUCCUUGCCAUCCUACUAAUACAUUAGUAUUCUUAUAAGUGAAAGGAAGUGAAAGAUUUAGGACUUCAGGAAAGAUUCAGUAUGAAACUGGCUUUCUAACAAAGUCCCUUUUAUUUUUUAUUCAAGAGAAUAUUGCACAUAAUGCAUCCCACUAUGAGGUAUAAUUAUAAUGCACCAAUAAAAAUUUUGGACCAUAUGGUUGCUCACACAUAAUAUAUCUAAGAAUUUUUCCUUGGAAUGAAAUGACCAGGCCUCAGAAUCCCAGUGUUUAUGCCAUCUUUCUCCAGAUGAAGAGUUGCGACACAGCAGAUGGCCAAGAAGCCCAGGCAUGUGAAUGCAGAAUUUUCCUAGUGUCUUGUAACAUGCACCCCAUUUUCAGUCUUUUCCCUCUAAGAAUCUGGAGCUUGCAAGUCCCAGACCUUUGAUGUUUAUGAGGGAAUAGCUGGCUACCUUUUCAUCAGUUCUCUGCUCUGCAGCACUCAUAUUCUAGUUUCAUCUUCUUUCUGUCUUACCACUCCUUUCUCUCUUCCAAAAAUACAUUAAAAUAUUAUGUCCAUCAGUUUUCUCCUCUCA